rnacentral:rRNA from 1 species
UGAGGAAUAUUGCACAAUGGGCGCAAGCCUGAUGCAGCCAUGCCGCGUGUGUGAAGAAGGCCUUCGGGUUGUAGAGCACUUUCAGCGGGGAGGAAGGGAGUAAAGUUAAUACCUUUGCUCAUUGACGUUACCCGCAGAAGAAGCACCGGCUAACUCCGUGCCAGCAGCCGCGGUAAUACGGAGGGUGCAAGCGUUAAUCGGAAUUACUGGGCGUAAAGCGCACGCAGGCGGUUUGUUAAGUCAGAUGUGAAAUCCCCGGGCUCAACCUGGGAACUGCAUCUGAUACUGGCAAGCUUGAGUCUCGUAGAGGGGGGUAGAAUUCCAGGUGUAGCGGUGAAAUGCGUAGAGAUCUGGAGGAAUACCGGUGGCGAAGGCGGCCCCCUGGACGAAGACUGACGCUCAGGUGCGAAAGCGUGGGGAGCAAACAGG